UUUUAGUGUCUCCCCUUUCACGAGGGAAGCAGCUCAGGGCUGAGGAGGGCAGACAUGCUCAGAAGUGACCUGAGAAGGGGAUUUUUGUUUUUCUAAACACUAGAAGAAAGGCAUGAGAUUGGAGUAGGGUGCAGGAGUGGGAGGUGUGCAGUAUUUUUCUGGGUGUUCCAAAGAUUGCAAACUCAGAUGCUUCAGGGUUGUGCAGGUAAAGUAAAUGAGGAAGUCGGGCUGCAUGUGGACAACAGGAAUAGUCAGAAAGCGAGCUGGGGAUGUUAUUUCAACAAAAUCAAAACCAAAUAACUCUCUGUGCCAGCCAAUUGGAUGCUUCACCCUGGGAAGAACUUGGCCUGCAGGCUCAGAUUUGUGACCAGUGAGGAUGCAGAGACUGUCACCUCCUCAGGGGCGAUCUGCUAAUUCUAGAAUGGCGCUGUCCCACGGAAAUAUAUCACAAGCCAAGAAUGCAAUUUAAAAUUUUCUAUUAGCCAUAUUAAAAACAGUAAAAAGAAACAGUUGAAAUUAAUUUUAAUAUGAUAUUUAACUCAAUAUAUCCAAAAGAUU
rnacentral:lncRNA from 10 species